rnacentral:lncRNA from 1 species
GGCAAUAAUCCAGUCAGCUGCGGAGUCUUCCAACAAACAAGUGAUUCUUGGCUGAAGCUUGUCGAAGGCAAUUUUAAGGUAGCGGACCAUAUCGAAUGGUACAUCAAUGGUGGCUUCUGCAUCUUCAGGUAGACUAUCAACUUUUGGCAAUUGAAUCUUGACAAAUUCUAUUAGAUGGGUUAAAUUCGAAGGCAGUUUGGGAAGGCGAUCAAUGUUUCUGGGGGUCGAAACAAAGGAGACACUGUGGCCUUUCUGGGCUAUGAGCUUGGCGAGCUCUAGGUAUGGAAUCAAGUGACCGAAGGCCAGCCAUGGGAACAUGAGAAUAUGCAAUUUACCCUGCUCAGCCAUGGACUACAGAUUUAGAGGUGCAGUGCACAAGAUUCUUGAUUAUACUAUGAAGGUUUGUGAUUGAGAUAUUUAUGUUGAUUAGAUCAGUACAAUUUCAACAUGCUUUUCAUACCGCAACUAUCCCCACAGGAACGCCAGCAAAUGAGUGAUAUUUUCCACUGGUACACACCAAACAUAUCCACAUCUAUAUUAAGACCCUGUUUGAAGGAUUAAAGUCUAAAUUUUAUCCUAAAUCAAAAUCAACAAGUUAUUUUAAUCCCGUACUUUAUGGAAUUCACAACAUUUCAAUAACAUAUUUUAUUAAUUUUUAUCAAUCAAAAUUUACUAAAAAUCUGAUUUUAAUACGUUAUUUUUUAAUGUUUUAAAGCUAUAUUAAUUCAAAAUAAUCAACUCUUAUAAAUAACGUAACACAAUCUUAUGUAUUUUUUACGUCUUUCUUUAUGUUUGAUUGUUAAAAUCACGGAAAGAGAAAGAUAGCGAGUUCACAAUAAUUAUGAGAGGUAUAAUCGAGCUUCAAUUCGAUUUUUCGAGAACGAUAGAUACAACACUGCAGUAAAAUAACAGAUUCGGGUAAAACUUAUCAAUUUGAUUAAGUUGAACUUGAAAUGAAAAAUAAAAAUAGGAAAAAUCAUACUUUUUGGCUUUAAGCUAAAUUAAUUAGUUAGUAAAUUUAUUUAGAAAAAAUAAAAUAAUUUAAUUUAUUUAAAACAAAUAAAUUUAAAAAACAAGUAAUUGGCAAAAAACGUCCCUACCUUUCAAGUGUAUUGUGAAAAACAUCCAUACAUUUCAUUUUUUGGUACAAAACGUCCCUACCUUCCACUUUCUUGGCGCUGAACGUCAUUUUCAUCAAUUUUUGACGAUUUUAUCCUUCAGUCAAAUACAACAAAAAGAAAAGAAAGGAAAAAAAACAAAAAAACUAAUUGCAACCACAUUCCCAAAAUUUUUAAAAAUUGCAAAUGGUAACUUGAUAAUUACCAUAUUAAAUAAAUUGAAAAAAAAAAAUCAAAAAAUUAAGAAAAAAAAUUAAAAAAUGGGUUGUUUUCUUCACGACAACCCACCCCACCAUACAAAAUCUCUUUGCACAGCAAAUCCUCCAAAUCCGAAGCCCCAUUACAUCUCUCUGUACAAUGGGGUUUGAUACUGUAUAUGAAAAUGAAGGAGCUUGUACAAAGAGGUAGAUCGUAACUGAUAGCUUACUUUGAGAUUUUGUCAAAUGGAUCUUUGAGAUUUUUGGUUUUAGAAGCGGUUUUUAGAGUAAAGUAAACGGUGACGCGGGGGUUGUUAAUAGCUUACUUUUUGCUAUUUAUCUUCUAUUAUUGUUAUUUUUCAGUUUUGAUGAUUUCUGUGGGUAGUAUAGAUGGGGGAAAUUUGUCAGGUUUAGGGUUAGAAAUGGAAGAAAAUGAACUUGAAGAAGGAGAGGCUGACUGUUUUCAGAAUGAUGGUGACGAUUCCACCAUUGACCCUGAUAUUGCACUCUCUUACAUUGUAAGUUCAUUUUAUUUUUUAAUCUUUCUUUGUAAUUCAGUUUUUCAGUUUUCUAAAGCUGCAUGUAGUUUGAUUUAUAAAUUAUAUCCUGUUCAGUUGUGCAGAGAGAUGUAAUAGGGCUUCGAAUUUGGAGGAUUUGCUGUGUAGAGAGAUUUUGUAUGGUGGGGUGGGGUGGGGUGAGAGAAGAAGAAGAUGAAUAAUAGGGUGUGGUGUGGUGUGGUGAAGAAGACAACCCAUUUUUUUAAUUUUUUUCUUAAUUUUUUGAUUUUUUUUCAAUUUAUUUAAUAUGGUACUUAUUAAGUUACCAUUUGCAAUUUUUAGAAAUUUUGGGAAUGUGGUUGCAAUUAGAUUUUUGUUUUUUUCUUUCUUUUUUUUUAUUUAUUUGAAUGAAGGGUAAAAUCGUCAAAAAUUGAUGAAAAGAACGUUCAGCGCCAAAAAAGUGGAAGGUAGGGACGUUUUGUGCCAAAAAAUGAAAGGUAAGGAUGUUUUCCACAAUACAAUUGAAAGGUAGGGACAUUUUGUGCCAAUUACCCAUUUAAAAAAAUUAGAAAGAAUCAGUUCUUAUUGGAUUUUUCGGUUCUUGAUCUAGAACCAAGAACCGAUCCAAAUCUGUAGAUUCUCAAUUUAAAUACCCGUUUGAGUAUUUACCUUAAGAAGAACCGCUCAGUUCGUAGUCGAGAGUUUUGUCCAAUCCUAAUUCACAAAUAACAUUCAUGACAACUGACAGUAAAGUAAAAAUUAUGAACAGUGCUAUAAGUAUAGAUUUUUUCUGCAGAUUUUGUACAGAAAGAUAGCUGUCUUCCCGUAAUUGAUUAUUGUUAAAAACAAUUUUUUGCAACAGUAAAUCACAAGAAGACAACUAUGUCAUGUACCAAUUCUGUUAAAAAAAUUUAUACUCGUAGAUUAAUGCAAAAGUUAUCUUCAAACCUGAAUCCAAUGCCACCCAAAACAUGUCUACGCAGGUGUUAUCUAGGUAUGGUCGUGAUUAAUCUCACUAAUCUGCAGAGCAGAGCCCCUAAAACUAGAUUCAAAUGAUGUGAUAAAACAUUCCAGUGUUUUUAACCAGCUAGUAAUAGGAGCAUGGCAUACCAGUUACACUUCCUUCUAAUCACCACGCUUCCGAUUAUAUUAUGUGUUUUGAAUUCAAAAUGUAACCCCCAAUCAAACAAAUUCUAUGACCAUCUCCGAUUGUUCCUUUUCCUCUUUAUUUUAAAUUUUUUUGGAAUGCAAGAUAUUUUGUCUCACUUCGUCGCCAUUGGUCAAUCAAGAAACAAUUUGAUAGGUCGGUAGGUACGUAGGUAACAAGACAAGUAGAAAAGGAAUUGAUGGGUGGAGAUGCUUCCAUGAAGCACGAUUCGGAAAAAAAUAAGUUAAUUUCUCCUCCAAAAUAAUAUGCAGUAGAGGUCUAUCAGUUGAUCUCUAUGGAAUCUUCCGGAUUGGAUUCAAUAGGUACCCUAGUUCAUAUAUUCACAGUUCUGUCAUGAAUUCGUCCCUUCUUGUAAAUAAUCUAUUCUGGUAGGGAUGAAAAUGCACAUAGCAAACAAGCAUACUUUUGAAAGUCAAGAUAGACAAGUGGAUUAAAGCUUUUGAAUGAAAUCUAUUCUUUCUACUCUAUUGUUCUCUUGAUUUUGAAAGAAACCUUUAGCUUUUGUUUACUUUAGUAUAAAAAUCUUAUCCAAUCCAAGCGUUUUAACACUUGGAUAUUAUAAAAAGAUGCAUGCUAUUACCCAAAUCUAAAUUCUCCCAGGCUAAAACAACAAUCCCCGUAUUGGAGUCACUUGAAAAGCUAGAGAGUUACAUCAUAUACAAGUAGAUCUUCUUCUGUUCAUCUCUUAUCUCUGUACUUGUCUAUCAUUUCUCUCUCAACAGUUACAUACAAGCCAAGCAAUGCAUAAACGAUACACUCAUAAUUCACUUGGAAAGUGUAUUUAUUUCUAUUAGAAUACUUUAAGCCUUCUUGUGAUUUUGUAGAUGAUCUAAGAAUCGCUCCAUAUAACCAUCUUGUAUAUCUUUAUUCGACAACAAUUCUCUCAUCUCUUUAACCUUUUCCCUGUAAACUUUACCUCCUUCUUCCACCAUCACCAAUCUCAGAGAGUAAGCAACUGCGUCUUUAGUAAAUGAUCCGUCCAACUCAUUUCUCGCUAUCUCAUGUCCCAACUUCUUUUCCUCCAAUAGGCUGGAAAUCAUUCCUUGGUCCGCCAAGAAAGGCAACAAGAUUAUCCAUUUCCCGAAUUGCAAAGCCUCCACGACUGAGCUCAGCCCGGAGUGACACAAGAUUCCACCCACCGACUCGUGGCUCAGUACCUUGAGUUGAGGAACCCAACUUGUAAAAACCACCCCACGUCCUUUAGUUCUCUCCUCGAACCCUUCUGGUAAAUGAGUCACCCACACGCCAAACAUAUCCAACAUCUAUAUUAAGCCCCUGUUUGAAGGAUUAAAGUCUGAAUUUUAUCCUAAAUCAAAAUCAACAAUUUAUUUUAAUCACACGCUUUAUGAAAUUCACGACAUUUCAAUAACAUAUUUUAUUAAUUUUUAUCAAUCAAAAUUUACUAAAAAUCUGAUUUUAAUACGUUAUUUUUUAAUGUUUUAAAGCUAUAUUAAUUCAAAUAAUAAUGUUUAAUCUUUCCAAUCUUAUGUAUUUUUUUACGUCUCUCUUUAUGUUUGAUUGUUAAAAUCACAGGAAGAGAAAGAUAGCGAACUUACAAUAAAUAUAAGAGGCACAAUCAAGCUUCAAUUUGAUUUUUUCAAAACGAUAGAUACAACACUAUAGUAAAAUAACAGAUUUGGGUAAAACUUAAAUCAAUUUGAUUAAGUUGAACUUAAACUGAAAAUUAAAAAUAGUAAAAAUUAUAUUUUUGGUUUUGAGCUAAAUUAAUUAGUUAGUAAAUUUAUUUAGAAAAAAAAAAAUAAAUUGAUAUAUUUAAAACAAAUAAAUUCAAAAAAUUAGGAAGAUUCGGUUCUUAUUUGAUUUUUCGGUUCUUGAUCUAGAACCAAGAACCGAUCCAAAUCCAUAUAUUCUCAAUUUAAAUACACGUUUUGGUAUUUACCUUAAGAAGAACUGUUCGGUUCGGGUCGAGAGUUUUGUCCAACCCUAAUUCACAAAUAACAUUCAUGACAAUUGACAGUAAGGUAAAAGUUAUGAACAAUGCUAUAAAUAUAAAUUUUUUCUAUAGAUUUUGUAAAGCAAGACAGCUGUCUUCUUGUAAUUGACUAUUCUUAAAAACCUUAUCUAGGUAUGGUCGUAAUUAAUCUCACUAAUCUGCAGAGUAGAGCCCCUGAGACUAGAUUCAAAUGAUGUGAUAUAACAUUCCCGUGUUUUUAACCAGCUAGUAAUAGGAGCACGGCAUACCAGUUGCACUUCCUUCUAAUCACCAUGCUUCUGAUUAUAUUAUGUGUUUUGAGUUCAUAACCCCAAUCAGAGAAAUUCUAUGACCAUCUCCGAUUGUUUCUUUUCCUCUUUAUUUUAUUUUAUUGGAAUACAAGAUAUUUUGUCUCACUUCGUCACCAUUGGUCAAUCAAGAAAGAAUUUGACAGGUCGGUAACUAUGUAGGUAACAAGACAAGUAGAAAAGGGUUGUGCAAUUAUUAAAAAAAAUCACCUAUGUUACACUUACCAUUUGAUUGCCUUCAUUAAAUAUAGUGAUACAGAAAAUAAACAAAUUUAUGCCAUGACCUAUGUUGAAGAUGAAGGUUCGGAAGAGGAUGGAGGCGAUGGUUUGGAGGGAGAUUUGGCAUGGUUAGGACGGAGAAAGAGAUGACAGAGUUUUUCUCUUUUUCUUUAUUGUUUUCUUUAUUUCUACUCUUUUGUUUUAAUUUAAAUAGAAUAUAACUGUCAUUUUAGCAUGAAAAAUAAAUUUUUAACAGUCAAAUGGAUAAUAUCCGCCAGGCAGGGAAACUUAAGUGCAACAUUUAGUUGAGGACUCCAGCUUAUAAGAACUUUUGAAAGACAAGAAAAAUUAAAGACUGUUUAAUAUCGUAACAUUUAGGGUUGUUCAUCCUAAAUAUCAGUAAAAUCUAUUGUUUCAAAUAUCGUAAUAUUGAAAAAUUUGUUUUGGCAAUAGAAACAAAUUUUAUCCGCAAUAUCAGUAAAAUCUAUCACUUUAAUUGACAAUUUUCAUAUAAAACAAAGCCAAACGAACACCAAAAAAUACAUUUAUUUCAACGAAUUCCACGUGUAAAAUUAUACCAAUCAAACACAAUAAUUUACAAUUCCCAGGAAAAUAAUUUAUAGACAAUUCAAUUCCCUUAAAUUCAUUUUCUUUCCACCCAAAUUCUAUUUUCGCAAUUAAACAGACCCUAAUAUUCUUUAAUUCAAUUCAACUUUGCAGUUUGAAGGAGCUUUAAUUUAUAACAACCUCUGAAGGCAAAGGACAAUCCUCAACAGAUAAGCUGCAACUUAAGAACAGACUGCUGAAUAUCGUAACAUCAGAAACACUUGAAAAUUGUUAGACGUAAAUUUCACAUCGUAAAAAAGAAACUAGAAGGUUGUCAAUCUGAUAGGGAUUGAUUAAUUGAAGAAAGCAUGAUAUUAGGGAUCUUCCAAACUUCGUUUUUAAAAUAAAUUAGAAGGAUAAUGUUCUCAAAAGUGAAGGAGUGUGUGAAGACGAAAAAAAUAAAACAGCACUUUAGACUUGAGACAAAAUAUAAUGAGGCUUUUUUAAUCAUUAGUGGGAUCACAAAUGAUGAUGAAGGAAAAAUAAAGUGAUCAUAUUGUCCAAAGAGCUAUUCCUUUAGGAAUUCAAGUUGGAUUAUUGGUAAGAAGGAACUGACGAGAAUGUAAUAAUCCAGAUUAAAGUAGGUUUGAACCAGACUGUCAAGUGCUUUAGGAAUUUUAUGCAGUGUAACAGUUAAAUGAUAAGUUCUAGAGAAUGGGAUUUUCGACCAACUAAACUUAUGGUGUUAAAUGUUGGGCCAUUAAUGAAACAACAAUAGUUGUCUUGCAAGCACUUGGAAAAACACGAUAUAUGAACUGUUCAUCACUUCUGAAAACUCUCUUUUGAAGAAUCCAAAGGUGCUAAAAUUUGACAACUUUCAUAUCUCACCUAAAUCCCUGCAUCCAGAGCCAUAUCCAACACUUGUACCGUUGUUUGUUUUGCUUGGAAACCUAACGUGAGUCUGAUAUUGGAAUUCUUGUCAACAAUGAUACUUGAAGACAAUUGUUUGGCUAUUUGAAUGAUCUUAUCUGAAAGUAUAUACUGCAGGAGUCGAAGAAGUGGAUUUUAGUUUAAUUAAUUUUUCUUGUCACUUUAUAUUAUAAAAAUCGACAGUGACAAUUACGGAGAGAGAUGGAAUUGUAAAAAAUUCUAAUCAUAUUAGAAGUACUUGACCUUUAACUGGACGUUAAAGGGACUAGCACAGACAUGGACAUGCAACACAGUUGACGCGUAAUUUUUCAAAAUGGUAGGACACAGACUUGUCAGGACUUGUUGAAUUAUAUUCUUUAAUUUAUUUCGCCCCUCUUUGAGCCCCAAUUUUGGCAACAAUGCUUUUUGGAAUAGUAUUUUGUUGCAAAAUGUGUUGUUAAAAAAUAAGGAAAAGUUUUAUGUUUGUGUGUAAAAUUAUUUUAUAAGAAAAUGUGUAGUUGAAAAUGAGUUCUAAAAAAAUGUGGGCCAAACAUGGGUUUCUAUAUUAUAUCUUCAUUUUUUUACUUCAUUUAUAUUUCAGAAAAGUCACAACUUUUUUAUCUUUGAUCUUAGCAAAUCAAGUUUUUUUGAAUUAAAGAAGUGGAUAUUUUUUAUACCGGUAUAACUUUGGGUUAAACUAUAUUUUACUACUACUGAAGAAAGAUAAUUGCAUAAUAAAUAAAAGUUUCCCUAAUUUUAAGGUUCAAAAUAUAUAAAAUGGAGCUUUCCAUGCCUUGAUGUGUUGAAGACAUAUACGUCUUGUAUUAGGCUAUAAAGAAUAUGAAAAUAUGUUAGCCUUGUGUUUUUGAGGUUUGUUUUGGAGGUUUUCGUCACACGUCCUAAACUUUAAAAAGCAUCUGAAAAAUGGGACAUGCCACGCUAGUAAAGUGUCCGUGCUUAGCAGAAAAUGGAUCUUAUUUUUAAAUUCUUACCUUUUUGUGUACAUAUCAUAGUUAAUUUUUAGCAACAAUGGAGGUAGCUAUAUAUGAUACAAUGAUCUACAUAUUCAAGAAAUUACGUAACUGAAACUUAUAGCUAAAUUUAGGAAUCUGUUUCUUGAAAAUUAAUGAAAAAUUUAUUAGCAUGCAAGAAAUUUUUCACUAAUUUCUUUAGAGUAGCUAUUUGUGUCACAACCUUGUCUCUAUAUACAACACACUUAUUCUUUUAUUGGUUCUCCUACUGGUAAGAACUAAGAAGUUGCACAAGAAACCUUGUCUCUUUAUACAACACACUUAUUCUUUUAUUGGUUCUCCUAUUGGUAAGAACUAAGAAGUUGCACAAGAAAAGAUUGCACUUGUAAAUAAACAAUUUUUAAUGUAUUGCAGAUGAAAGAUCUAAGUACUGCAAUGAUUUUGACUUGCGGAAGCCCCUAGAGAGGCACUUCCAUAAUGGACAACAGAUUGAUUGCAUUAGACUUGAAGAUUCCGCUGAUCUCACUACAUUCCAUGACCGUUGUUCGAGCUUCUUAUCUCAAACUCCUAGGUAGUUGUUUAAACAUUGUAGCCGAUAUGAACAACGCUCUUUGUACAAUUGGUGCUUUCUAUAGAAACAUUUAUGGGGGACUAAGGUUUUUGCUGUCAAUGAGAUUGAAUAAGAUUACGGAGAUCGUCGAAGAUUACGACUAUAUUACCAUUAUAAUUCUACCAUAUCUAUAUAUGGUACAAUUAUAAUGGUAAUAGAGCUUUUGAACUGUUAAUGUAAAGCUCGGUGGAGUGUGGAAACUUGUUGGACACAUUAUUUUCUUGGUUCUAGUUGCAGCAAUUAACAAGAGUAGCACAAUAUAAUGAAAGCUAGCAUAUGUUUGGUGCCCAUUAUUUAAAAAAUAAUAACAAGAAGAAGAAAAAUUGAAUUGUAUUUUUAGGAGAAUGUUUGAUUAAAAAGUAGAGAAAAGUUUGGAGGUUACGUGCAAACUAUUUAAUUUUGUGAAUGUGUCGCUAAAAAUGAUCUUAUAGGGAAAAGAUAUUUAAAACAAUGGGCACCAAAUUGGGGCUUAAUAUUAUGUCAUAGUGUUACAUUAAAGGAAAAAGAAAUGUGUUGGGAAUGUUUGGUAAGUGAUGCCCAAAUCUCCAAGGCGAUGAUGAAAAAUUGAGGCUCGUUUCAACCUCAUAGGCUAUAAGCCUAGGAUUGAAGAAUUGAAUCCACACCACAAUUGAAGUAGCCCAAUUAUGUCGGGUAUUUAGAGGUAAUCAAUCCAUUGGGCUAGGUGCUCAAUACCCAAUUUGGAGGUAAUUUGAAAAUCACAAGAAAGAUAGAUAAUUUAUAAUCUUUAUCUUUCUUUAACCAAUUUAUCUUGUCUUGUGCUCUAUCUUUUAGUUAACAUAAUCUUGUAGAUUUCUAUUCAUCCUAAACUAGCAAGAUUUUCGGGAAAUCCGUUCUCUAUAUGAGCCUAUAAAUUGGAGCUUUCACCCUUCAUUUUUCUCACCCUCAAAACAAGAGAAACUCUCCUCCUGCUUAGUGUAAAACAAAUCUUCCUUUGCCUUCUUUGUGAAAUUGUCUUUGUGAUUGAUAAUGGCCUUCAAAUUGGAGAUACUUUUAUGGUGUGAAUCAAGUUUCUGAGCCAAAUCAAAAAGGGUUCUUCAAUUUUUAGUUUUUUUGGUUUUAAGUUUCUUGAAGUUAAUCUUUCCAAAUCCUUCAUUAAUUGGAUCUUUUGGUUGAUUUAUAGGUGGGUUUGCUUCACAAAAUGCAUGAAACAAAACUUAGAAUUAUUAUUCCAUAUUGCUAUCUCUUUGAUGUGCUAUUUUUGAUGUUAAUGGUUCCUGCAAUUGUAAUUAAUUCUGUGUAUUUGAUAUGGUUAUGCUAACUAUUCAGUAUUGAUAUUUUAUAAUUUUAUUGGAAUAAUGAAUCCUUGAGAAAAGUAAAAAGAUGACUGGAACAGAGAUAAAUUUAAAUUUUUUGUCAACUUUUUCUUGGAUGAUUCUGCUAUUCUGAUUGGUUGAUUUUCAAAUUGGAAUUUUGGUUUUUAUAUGUUGUCAAAAAUGAUAGGAACAUUGCAUGUCCUGGUCGUAUUGCCAUUCAGUCACUAGGUGCGCCACAAUGCGACUUUUCUGACAAGGUUAGGACUCAUUUUCAUGGAGUAAUGUGAUCUUUUUUUUAUCGAAAGAUUUAAGUUUUUAUUAAAUAUUCCUAGACUGUUAGGAGGGUACUGGAUGGACGACUACAUGUUUUAAGUUUGGCUGUUAAAUUCUUUCACAAAUGACCUGUGUAUUAUUUUGGUUGGAAUGUGAUAUACUUUCUUUUGUCAGAUCUCUAACAAACACCAAGGAUCAAAACCUUCCACACCCCACACCGGAUUUACAGGGUGUACUUUCCCUGUAAACGGUCAUCAAAUGCAGUAGCCGUUAUCACUUUUCCGCCUUCCCUUGUUUCACCAUCCUUGGCUGACACCUUGGUUUCUGUCAAAGCAAUUCCAGGGGUGUGUUUGUAUAUGUGUUUUAUAAGCUUGUUAUUAAAUAUCACACCUUUUUGUGGGCUAAUUAUUUACAACCUAUGCUUGAAAUAGACGAGGACAAGGAACUGGCAAAGCUUCUUACUGGAUAUCAGGAUAUGGUUGGCCUCCUCAGUGUACACAAGGUGGCACGUAUGAGUAAUAAAUUAAAUACAAGGCAGAAUCAUGAUCCGAAGUGUUAUUACUGAUAUGGAAGAAGAGAAAUAUCAUGCUUAAGUAUGUCCUUUUAUCAGAUAGAUGAAAUACAAAACAGAAUGAUAAUAGGAUUUUUGGUUACAAAAUGAAGCCCUAUUGGACCCGUAUUAUACUUUCAUCUCCUUGAUUUUAUGGUGAAGAGAUUAUCUAUAGACUCAUUCACCUUGAAUAUCUUAAUAUUUACAAAGAACCUAUGAAUAAAAUUGUGUUUCUAACCUUCUACAUUUUACAUAAAAUAAGUGUGAUAAAUUAUAUGAAAGAAGAAAUUUGAAGAUGAAAUCCAGUCACGUCUGUGUAUUCUUUGAAGUAAUGUUAUUCAUUGAGUUGAGAAGAUCAUCAAUUUCUGUGAAACUAUAUCGACUCCUCAUUUUACUUUAAAAAUAUCACUUCUUAUUCUUUUAUAAGAGCGCUUUCAAGAAAUUCUCUCUUUAUAUAGAAUAUCUUUAAAUAGAAUUUAUAAAUUUCAUCAUUACUCUUUAUAUUGACUUCUCAAUAGCAUUAUUCAUUCUUUUAUAAGAGCAUUUUCAAGAGACUUGCUAUUUAUAUGGAACAUCUUUAAAUAUAUUUAUACGCUCCGACAUUGCUCUUUAAAUUGACAACUCAUUUUAAUUUUUUAAGGAAACGUUUAUUGAUUUCUCAUCUUAUUUCUUUAUAUGUUAAUGGUCAAUUAAUUUUUAACAAUGAUAAAAAUAAUUUAUGAAGUGAAAUAUCAAGUAUGUAGCUUAUUAAAUAAAUUUAUUAUAAAAUAAGAAUGGAGCAUCAGUUUGGUUCUUUGUAAAAAUUCAAAAAAAAAAAAAAGGUUAAAAUAUAAAGUUUCCUGAAACUUAUUUUUAAGCAUUGAUUUUAAAUUGGAGAGCAUUUCGUAUUUUAAAAAACGAUAGAAGUUAAACUAGAGGGAUUGGCUACAGUUUUCUCCCUUCUUUUCCUCGUUCAAUGUGCACCCUUUGUACAUGUUUGGGGAUUUUCAGACAUUGACUGGGAUUAAGCAAAGAAUAUAGUCUUGAUUAUCCAUGGGCAGUGUUUUGAUAAUUCACAACAUUCAAUAAGGGAUGGAGUAUGAUAGCGAUAGAUUUGAAGAAGAAAGAUACAAUUUGGUUUGAAGGGACGUGGUACAUAAUUAUGAGGGGACAAAAAGGAAAAACACUUGUGUAACACGCUAAGNNNNNNNNNNNNNNNNNNNNNNNNNNNNNNNNNNNNNNNNNNNNNNNNNNNNNNNNNNNNNNNNNNNNNNNNNNNNNNNNNNNNNNNNNNNNNNNNNNNNNNNNNNNNNNNNNNNNNNNNNNNNNNNNNNNNNNNNNNNNNNNNNNNNNNNNNNNNNNNNNNNNNNNNNNNNNNNNNNNNNNNNNNNNNNNNNNNNNNNNNNNNNNNNNNNNNNNNNNNNNNNNNNNNNNNNNNNNNNNNNNNNNNNNNNNNNNNNNNNNNNNNNNNNNNNNNNNNNNNNNNNNNNNNNNNNNNNNNNNNNNNNNNNNNNNNNNNNNNNNNNNNNNNNNNNNNNNNNNNNNNNNNNNNNNNNNNNNNNNNNNNNNNNNNNNNNNNNNNNNNNNNNNNNNNNNNNNNNNNNNNNNNNNNNNNNNNNNNNNNNNNNNNNNNNNNNNNNNNNNNNNNNNNNNNNNNNNNNNNNNNNNNNNNNNNNNNNNNNNNNNNNNNNNNNNNNNNNNNNNNNNNNNNNNNNNNNNNNNNNNNNNNNNNNNNNNNNNNNNNNNNNNNNNNNNNNNNNNNNNNNNNNNNNNNNNNNNUUAUCAAUCUCCCAGUUUGAGUCCCCUCAGAGCUAUUGAGGUGAGGAUCCGACUGUAAAUUUCAGGGUCCUGUGGAAUUAGUUGAGAUAUUUGUAAGUUGGUUCGGACACACACGGACAUAAAAGAAAAAAAGAUUUAUCAAUCUGUAGCCAUUUCUCUCUAUAGAAUCCCAAUUCACAAAUCAUCUCCUUACUCACUAAAAUUUCUAUCCUAAAUCAUUGAUUGACCAUGAAGCCACUGUAAUGCAGACGUCAAUAGCUUAUGAAAUUCAUUAUUUUAGAGAAGUUAUAGCUCGUUAGAUUUAUCAUAUUUUCCUUGAGCAAAUUUGAUCAUUUUGGCUCUUCUAGUCACAUGGUAAAUCGAUUGCAACUGUGUUUGCAUUCAAGAAACACAUAUCUAGGUACGCAUAAGCCCUUGAAGUUUCUGUAAUCAUUUUUUUGAAUUUUAUGACAAUUGCUUCUAAUUGUGAUCAGUAAGUGUAAUUCAUGAAUUUUGUGUGCAUUUUACCCCAUUUGUAACAUAUGUUUACAAUUUUGUGAUUAGACAGUAUGCAUUUAUUAUUUGUAAUUUGAGAAUUUUUAACAUUGUUGAUCUAAAAAUACUAUUCUAAACAUAUUUAAGCAAAAAAACUGUUUGUGACUAGUUUUUGCAAUGAAUGUAACUAUCCGUACCCAUGUUUGUGCUUCAAUCAUUAUGUUAAAUGUGAGUGAUUGUAACUUGAGAUGAAUCAUUUGUGAACUCUAUUUUACAUAUUGCAACCAGCUAUUAUGUGAAAUGAAAACAAUAUGUGACCAAUUUUAUAUGCAUUAAAUGUGACUCUAUGUGACCAAUGCUACAUUUUGCAACUUGUUCUACGCUAAUACUUACUGUUUGUAACCAUUUUUUGUUAACCGUAACCCUUUCUAACCAGGUCAGUGUUGAAUAUGACUUUUUUUGAGCAGGUUUAUUUUAGAUGUGAUUGUUUGUGACCUGUAAUUUAUUGAAUGUGACUUACCGUCAUCUGUCUAUGAGUAUAAUUUUUGUCAUUUUUUUUUUGUAAUCGGAAGACAUGACUAAUGAAAUUGUGCUUGCUCCUGAUCAAAAGAGAAGUUCAGAACGUCUUACUGAGGAGGAGGAGAAGAAGAAGAAGUUAGCUUGCGAGAGAUCACAAGUUGUAAAAUAUGAAAGAAACGGUGGAUAUGUUCAAAAUCGUACGACUUGUAACAACAUGGUACCAUUUUACCAAAAAGAGGAAAGAUUAAAGGCAAAGAAACAAUCAAAUCAAUUUAAAUAUCUCAGUAUAUUUUUAUUAAUAACAUCAAGAUAUUCUUUAUAGUUACAAGUUUUUUCAUUUUAUUCACGAAUUGUAUAUUAUUGAAUAGAUUGAAUUAAAAUAUUAUUCAACUAACAUUUACUAUUAAUGCAAAAUUUUUGAAUUCGGUAUGUGCAUAAAAAUUCAUGUGUUGUGAAUAGGUUUCCGUAUUUCGUAAAAUCUCAGCAAAUUGUAACCUAUUGAAUGUGUUACAUGUGAUGUAUAUGACAAUGUUUAGUAUACUAGUGACUAUUUGUGACUAGGACUUCUCUGUAACCAGGAGUGUGUAAGUCAUUAUUGGUUGUAACUCGGCCUGUAUUGAUUGUGAUUGUCUUUAAUCAUGUAUGUCUUAAUUGUGACUGUAUUUGACCAAAUCUGUUAUAACAUUGAAUGCAUGCGACCAGGUAUAUUGGAGCUAUUAUUGUUUGUGACCAGAUUUGUGUAAGCUGUUAUUUGUUGUGAUAAGAUGUAUCUUAACUUUGAUUGUGCGUAAUCAGGUUUUUCUUAAAUGUGACUGUCAUUGAAAAUGCAUUUCUUAAAUGUGAUUGCCUAUGACCUGAUGCGUCAUAAUUUUGACUAUAUGUGACCAGUGUUGUCUUGACUGUGGUUGUAUGUGAUGUUUGUGUUAAUAGUAUUUUGUGAUCUAGUAUGUGAACAAUGACCUUUUGUAAUCAAUUUUGUAUUAAUUGUGACUAUUCGAGAUAUUUUGUGUUAAUUAUGACUCUCUGUGGUCAAGUUUAUGUUAAUUGUGACUAUCUGUGAUCAUGUCUGUUUUCACUAUGAAUGUUUGUGACGUGUUGUUAUCUAACGGUGAUCUAUUGUUGCCUACCAAACUACACAGAGAAUUGAAGAGUAAAUAUUGUUAAGGUUGAAGAUUAAACAUUGUUGAAGAGUUUAUUAAUCAUAAAAUACGCCAGUUUUUUGGAUGCUAAUGCCAUAAAGUGUCUCUUAACACUAGGAUCCUCUUUUAGAUGCAAAAUACCUCAUGCUUAAACCAUUCAUUUCCAACAAAUGAAUAAUCCAGAAAUUUAUACCCUACUUUAAGAGGAAUAAAAUAGAGAGCCAAAACCAACACUUACCCUAAAUUGGCAAAAUCUAGUAUUUUCUAGUUUUCAUUCUUUUUUUUUUUACGCUAUUUGUAUAAUGACUGAGGGAAGCUUUUUAUGAAGUAGCACAAUAGCGGAAAAAAAAGAGCACUAUUAUUUGUGACUUCAAUUCGCACUCCAUAUCGAUGAAGGACUUUUCAUGUUUGUGUUUCUCUUCUUACUAUAUCGCAAUAUCACCGCCACAUUCCCUUACCUCAACUACCACCUCUAUACUGGAAUACAUCAUGCUUUGAAAUGAAAAAUUAUACCUGCUAUUUCAUGAAUUAACUAUAAGGUUUAUCAACACAAGCAGAACUAAGUUACUGCUUCUCCAGGUGUAGUCAAGCAUUUUGCACAAAUACCUUGCAUACACAAAUUUGUUCAAUUACAAACUAAGCAAAGAGUUAAUUCUCCAAAUAAUCACUGAACUUUGCCAAAAGUUUUCUCAGGUCACCGAACUUCAAAACUUCUCUAAAUAGUCACUAAACUUUGCCAAAAGUUUCCAGGAGGUCUCCGAAUUUCAAAACUUCCCCAAGUAGUCACUAAAUUUUACAAAAAGUUUCAAGGAGAUCACUAAAAUAGUGAUGCAUGGGGUCCCAAUUUGUAAAGUUGAGUGACCCCCUAAGAACUUUUUGCAAAGUUCAGUAACUAUUUAAGGAAGUUUUGAAAUUCGAUGACCUGUUGAAAAUUUUUGGUAAAGUUUAGGACUGUUUAGGAAAGUUUUGAAGUUCGAUGACCUCCUCGGAGCUUGACAAAGUUCAGUGACUAUUUGGGGAAUUAACUCCUAAGCAAAACACAAUAUCUGCCAUAUAAUAACAUAAUUUACAAACAAUAUUCCCCAAAGUUUGUAAUAAAUAUUAGGAUCAUACUACUAGUACAAACUUUUUUUGACAAACUCCCUUACUCACUACUCACAAUGGGAAUGGGGCCCACAAGCCAACAUUUUUUAAAUUCACUAGGGAUUUGUUAAUUUUGUGAGAGUGAGUACACCAUUUUGUCAACAAGAUUUUGUACAAAUAUCUUUAUUCUGAAUAUUGAGUUAAAUAGGAGGCGGACAAAGUUUUCAACCACACUAACCCGUAUAACGAAUUUGCAGUGCCACUACCACUAGCACCGCCACCAACAAUCCAACACACAAAUUCUAGGUUAACAUUGGAGCUGAACCCAUAGAGCGUGUGGAAUGAAUCAUCAUUUCAUCAAUGAUUUUCAAAAUCCCAAAACUCCCAAAUAUGUGCACCAUUAACCUAGAGUUACAAUUUCAAUUCACUUUCACUCACACCUACAAUUAACAUUUGUAUCGACAUAGAAGAAGUUGAGAAAGAAAGGAAGUGUAGAGAUUGAGAGAGAGAGAGAGAGAGAGAGGUGGAGGGAUCGUAGAAUGAAAAUUAAAGGGAUUGUAGAAUGAAAAAUAAGUAAACUGUUAUAAUGGUAUUGUUUGAAAUGAUUUGAUUUAGGACAAUUAUUUAAUAUAUUAAUCAUAAUCUAAAGUCUUAUUUAUCACCUGAUUGGUGAAAUUACACCACCUUAAUUUUGAAUUGUAUACUUUAUACGUAGAGUUUGGGCUAAUUUUUUCUAAGGGUCCGUUUCAUUGUAAGAAUAUAAUUUAGGUGGAAAGAAAACAAAUUCCAGGAAAUUGAAUUGUUUAGAGCUUGUUUUAUUGAGAAUUUCCAAUUAAAUGUGUUUGAUUGAUAUAAUUUUUCACCUGAAAAAUGUUAAAAUUUUGGAUCUUUUGAUGUUCGUUUCGCUUUGUUUUUCAUGAAUAUUAUCAAUUAAAUGGAUAUAUAUAUAUAUAUAUAUAUAUAUAUAUAUAUAUAUUUUUUUUUUUUUUUUNNNNNNNNNNNNNNNNNNNNNNNNNNNNNNNNNNNNNNNNNNNNNNNNNNNNNNNNNNNNNNNNNNNNNNNNNNNNNNNNNNNNNNNNNNNNNNNNNNNNNNNNNNNNNNNNNNNNNNNNNNNNNNNNNNNNNNNNNNNNNNNNNNNCUAGAAAACCCAUUUUCUCAACAAAAUCCAAGGAAUUGGAAUUCCUUUAAAAGCAAGAAAAUGAGGCCACGUGAGGGAGUAGUGAAAAAUGUAUUCCCUGGAAAAUUUUGGGAAUCAAACAACAAAAUUGGGUGGAAAAUGGAAAUUUUUUUCAUGGAAAAUGGCUCUAUCAAACAUACCCUAAAUUGAAUUGAAAGUACGUUCUUUUUUCUUUUCUUUUCUUUUCCUUUUUUUAAUGGGUCUCAAACAGACGCUAAGCAUUGGAGUGCCAUAGAUCGGGUUGUGAGACAAUAUAGCUCUUACAUUUGGUAACUUGAGAAGAGUCGAGCAUUUUUCUUCAAUUCUAAGAUCCAUGGUGAUUAGAAAAUUACUAAGGAAAGAAAAAUCCAAAUAAAAACAGCUAGGCUCGAGUGUUACGGUAGCCUAAAAUUUAUCGGCUUAACAAUGUCAUUUUGACUUCCCAAACCAUGAACAUGUAUAUUAUAUAUGCAACAUGUAUAUUAUAUAUACACCGAUAGCUAAAAAAUCAAACUACUGGUUAAUAUCCGACUUUGCUAAAACAUAGAGUCCAUUGGUAAUGGGAAAUGAGAAAUAAUACAGGACCCAAAAAACAAAUUUCCCAACAAUCUUCUCAUCUUGACAGCACCAUGCAUUAUACUAAUUAAGCCAAGUUUCAUGAAACUGUGAAGCUGGUGGUAUUACUUGUCCUUCAAUGAUGUGGCAAUGUCGAUCACAAACCGGUAUUUAACAUCAGAUUUCACAAGGCGAUCCAUUGCAGUGUUGAUGUAAUCAAUAGGGAUGAUCUCCACAUCUGGUAAUAUGUUGUGCUUUGCUGCAAAAUCAAUCAUCUCUAGGGUUUCUUUCAUUCCUCCUAUCCCACUGCCGGCUAUUAAUUUUCUACCUGGAGUCAUUGUGGAAGGUUAGCGAUAUUGUCAAGACCAGACCUGGCCUGACCAGAGAAACUGGGCAUCGCCCAAAUCAGUUUGGUUAUGGGGUAAAAGCAUUUAGAAUUAGAAACCUUGAAUAGAAGCACCAUACAGGUGGGGUUCACCCCGAGAUUUUGCUUUUAUUUUAGCACUGAUUCAACUCUUUGAACCUUGACCUUUUUCCGAGAUCAAUGCCAGAGCCAAUCUUUUAAACAUUUAUGUUUAGCCAUUAUUUUUUAGCAAAAGUGAAACCCCCUUCCUUUCCCUUCUUUAAAUAAUAAAAAAAUAUUUAUUUUAAUUUCUUAUGACUAUACUUUUCAAGCUUAUGCAAACAUGAUAUGAGAGAGCGGAGGAGCAAGAGAAUGAGAAAUAUUAAUGAAAUGCUUACCUGUAAUCAGUGGAAACGCUGGCAACUCAAUUGGCUUGUUCGGAACAACAACCAGUACCAUCUUUCCAUGAGGCUUCAACAAACUAAGCAGGGGUAAAAUGGGGUGAUCAGAAGAUACAGUAUCAACGAUCCCAUCCAAUGUCCUAGCUGUAGCCUGAACAUGGACAAAUAUAGAGAUUAAUGUGGUUUCUCAAGUCUCAGCAGAACAACUAAAUUAAACCAAGCAAAAUCCCAAUUCCUCACCUUCAUCUCCUCAGGAUCACGACUAACCAAAAACAAGUCGGCACCAAGUUUUUCAAUAGCUCCCUUCUUCUUAUUAAUAGAUGUACUGAUAACUGUAAUUUUAGUACCAAAAGCCAUAGCGAACUUCACAGCUACAUGGCCAAGCCCACCAAAACCACCAACACCAAUAUUCAUUCCCGGCUUGUCCAGUCCAAAGUACCUCUAGGGGCUGUAAGUUGUAAUCCCAGCACAUAAAAGAGGAGCACCAACGUCAAGGGGAAAGUUCUCAGGCCAACGAACAAUGAAGUGCUCAUCAGCAACCAUUAACCUCCACAUGUAAUGGUACCAUCAGUGUAAACAGCGCUAUAGGUAGGUAUCAUUUUAGAACAGUAAUUUUCAAGAUCAUUGCUGCAUUUAUCACACUGGCGACAUGAUCCAACCAUACAUCCAACUCCUACUUUGUCCCCAAACUUGACAUUCUUCACCUUGCUGCCAACCUCAGUUACUUCACCCACUAUGUCGUUCCUGCAAUAAACAGCCCAGUUCAACAUAUGCAUCAACUACUACUUUCGAAGAUAUAUAAUCUUUUAAUAACUUUAAGAUGAUUCACAGACUACCGCAACAGUUAGCAUUCAAUUUCUAUGAUUUAGUUUAUUAGAUAGUAUAUCCAUGGAAGCCAAAGAAUCAAUCCAUAGUAAGUCCAACUGGUGGUACAAAAAAGCAAAGACAGUUGCCACUUUUUAUUUUUAUUUUCAUAUAUGGAAUCAGAAAUGCUUGUAUUCAUCCAAAUAUGUCACAAGAAUCUGUUUAAAUAUUUCUAUAUUCUCUGCUUUCAAAUCCAGAUUACAACAAUCACUGAUCCUCACAAUACUAACACAGUAAUUGUGUGUGAGAUGUGUGCAUAUUGAACCACCCCAUCUAAAAAGUCCAAGGCAUUUAAGUACAGACAUUUACGGAGGCUCAUUUAGGUUACAAAUUCAAUUCUGUUUUUUCUUAACAAAACCAUUGAUGACUAAUAACAAACAUCUAAAAAAAAUUAAAUUCUCAUCAGGGAUGCACCUGUAAUGUAGAGAAUCUGCUAUGCGAGCACUGUUGACCUGGGAGCCACCAGGGCAAAUGCAGAACUUUGUCCUGUAAAAUCUCUUUUGAUACACUAGAUGUCCUAGAAAACUUCCAUGAGAAGUGAUUUGGCCUUUUGUCACAAUUGUGAAAUUUAGGAUGACAUGAGGUAAUUACUGGAUCAAGGUAAAGUCCAAAAAAGAAUUCCAUGUUUCUCAUCAUAAAUUCGCCCAUCGUUUGCCUCGUAAAAUAAGAAAAAUGCUUAUGAAAAUAACUUUUGGCAACGCGCAGACCAAUCAUGUGAAGGAUCUUAUAUCCUAUAUGCCCUCGUUUUUAUCAAGAAAACCCUGAAUUAACAUAGUAUAAGUCUGUAGAUUAAGCUGGCAACCAAGUUUCUCCAUGACAUUUAACAGCUCAGAGCAUCUAUCAACAAGACCCUUUUCAACAACAGGACAAUCAGAAGCUUCCAAGCAACUUCAUCAUAAUUGUAACCACAUUGGAUAAGCAUACAGAAUGCAGACUUAGCCAUCUCAUCAUUCCCUUCAUCAUACAAUCCACAAACAAGCAGCUUAUAGGAUUCUAUAUGUGGUAGAAGUCCAAGCUUGAGCAUGGUAUCAAGUAUCUUCAUUGCUUCCUCAUACAUUUUCAACUUAGAGCAACAAUUCACCAGUGCAUUAUACAUAUCUUCACUGGGCGACAUUCAACAUUGUUUCAUAUGAUCAACCAACUUCCAGGCUUCUUCAAAGCGUCCUUCUCGACAAAGUCCAGUGGUGAGUGCAUUGUAAGUGUUAACAUUUGGUGAGCAGCCAUUUCCAACCAUUUUCUUGAAGAGCAUAAGAGCUGUAUCAUAUUCCAUUAUUUUCCAGACAUCUGCUAUAUUAAUUGAGUUUUCUUCUGUUUUUGGAUCAAGUUCCGUUCUACAACCACUUCCGUUCGUUCGUUUCUCAUGUAAGAGGUGUUUGAUUAAAACAGAGUAGAUAUAAUGAGUUGGUUCACAUCUAGCAUCAACCAUACAUUUGGGCAUAUCAAAAGCACGAUCUAGUAAACCUGAACGUCCAUUUCCAUCAAUUAAUACUGUGUAAGCCUUGAAAUCUGGUUGCACCCCUUCUUCUUUCAUUUUAGCCAUCAAAUCCUCUGCUUCUUUCAACUUCCCUUGGUUGCAAUAUGCAACAAGAAAUGAAGUGUUUGUGCAAACAUCAGGUUUAUUUCCCAGGGAAACCAUCUGAUGAAACACCUUAUAAGCAUGAUCAAAGUCAUAUUCUUUUAACAUUUGCUCAAUGAGAAUAGUGUAAGUAACAACUGUAGGUUUCACACCUUCUUCCAGCAUUCUUUCCAGAAAUUCUGCUGCUUCAGGCAGUUUUUUCUCUUUGCACAGCCCACUAAUCGGCACAUUGUAAGUGUAUGAGUUCGGAUGGAAGCCCUCACCUGUCAUUCUUCCAAACAAAGUUAGGGAAAAAUCAAUCUUCCCAGCCUUGCAGAAUCCAUCAAUCAGAGUAGUGUAUAUAACUACAUUUGAAUUUAAACCAUUCUCCUUGAGAGAGUCGUAUACAUGAUAAGCCUUCUCAACCGUCCCUCUUUCACAUAAUGCAUCAAUGAGAGCACCAUAAGUUAACUGGUCAGGAACUACAUUUUGCUCUUCCAUCAACCUAAGCAGCCUAAAAGCGCUAUCUAUAUCACCCUCUUUACAUUGUCCACAUACUAAUAAGGAAAGUUACAAGAUUUGGAGACAUCUUCUGCUCUAGCAUCUUACUAAGAAGUGUCAUUGCCUUGUAAACUUGUUUUACCUCACAAUAUCCAGAUAUUAACUCAUUGUAGGUUCUCACAUCUGGAAGACAAGUAUUUGAUUCCAUCAUGGUAAAUAUAUCAAAAGCAGCACCAAUCAGACAAAUUCUAUGACCAUCUCAGAUUGUUCCUUUUCCUUUUUAUUUUACUUUUUUUUGGAACGCAAGAUAUUUUGUCUCACUUCAUCACCAUUGGUCAAUCAAGAAACAAUUUGAUAGGUCGGUAGGUGCGUAGGUAACAAGACAAGUAGAAAAGGAAUUGAUGGGUGGAGAUGCUUCCAUGAAGCACGAUUUGGAAGAAAAUAAGUUAAUUUCUCCUCCAAAGUAAUAUGCAGUAGAGGUCUAUCAGUUGAUCUCUAUAGAAUCUUCCGGAUUGGGCUCAAUAGGUACCCUAGUUCAUAUAUUCAAAUUUCUGUCAUGAAUUUGUCCCUUCCUGUAAAUAAUCUAUUCUGGUAUGGAUGAAAAUGCACAUAGCAAACAAGCAUACUUUUGAAAGUCGAGAUAGCCAAGUGGAUUAAAGCUUUUGAAUGAAAUCUAUUCUUUCUACUCUAUUGUUCUCUUGAUUUUGAAAGAAAUCUUUAGCUUUUGUUUAAUUUUAAGUCUAAAAACCUUAUCCAAUCUGUUUUAACACUUGGAUAUGAUAAAAAGAUGCAUGCAAUUACCCAAAUCUAAAUUCUCCCAGGCUAAAACAACAAUCCCCAUAUUGGAAUCACUUGAAAAGAUAGAGAGGUAUAUCUUAUACAAGUAAAUCUUCUUCUAUUCAUCUCUUAUCUCUUUAAUUGUCUAUCAUUUCUCUCUCAACAGAUACAUCAAGCAAUGCAUAAACGAUACACAAUUCAUAAUUCACUUGGAAAGUGUAUUUAUUUCUAUUAGAAUACUUUAAGCCUUCUUGUGAUUUUGUAGAUGAUCUAAGAAUCGCUCCAUAUAACCAUCUUGUAUAUCUUUAUUCGACAACAAUUCUCUCAUCUCUUUAACCUUUUCCCUGUAAACUUUACCUCCUCCUUCCACCAUCACCAAUCUCAGAGAGUAAGCAACUGCGUCUUUAGUAAAUGAUCCGUCCAGCUCAUUUCUCGCUAUCUCAUGUCCCAACUUCUUUUCCUCCAAUAGGCUGGAAAUCAAUCCUUGGUCCGCCAAGAAAGGCAACAAGAUUAUCCAUUUCCCGAAUUGCAAAGCCUCCACGACUGAGCUCAGCCCGGAGUGACACAAGAUUCCACCCACCGACUCGUGGCUCAGUACCUUGAGUUGAGGGACCCAACUUGUAAAAACCACCCCACGUCCUUUGGUUCUCUCCUCGAACCCUUCUGGUAAAUGAGUCGCCUCAUUAUCUGCUGCCCCUCGUUGCUUCCUCAGAACCCAGAAAAAUGGCAAUUCCGACUUCUCCAAGCCUAAUGCAAUUUCAGUAAGUUCAUCUUGAUUUGGUUUCGUUUCACUUCCAAAAGCUACAUAAACAACCGAUCCUUUUUCUUUCGCGUCAAGCCAUUCCUUAAUUUCAAUCCAGUUUUCAUUUUGCUCAUCAGAACCACUAUUAGUAGUUGUUGGGGGCAAAUGGCCGACUGGAAUAAUUGGUUUUUCGUAAAUAUUCUCUAGAAGAUUUAGCCACUCAGGCUCAAACUCAUAACAACUUCUCAUCACCACCACAUCACAGCCGUCAAUGGUGGCUACCAAUCGGUACAUGUCCGAAACAUUACCUCCGUCUAUCAUUGCCUCCUUAAACUGGCGAUUAAUUUGAAAAAAGCGCAUAGAAACAGAUGUUUCAAAGGGUACCCACUUGGGUUUCACAGUGAAAUCUUCGGGCUUCACCCGAUCAUCUUGAUUUUGCAAUGUAAGUGAUGUUGGGCCAGCAAAGCUCAAAAGAGUUGCAGUAAAUAUGCUGAAAAAAGCACAAGGAAUGUUGAGUUUAGCAGCUUCUGGGUAUAACCAGUAUUGAGCAAAAUCGGCAAUAAUCCAGUCAGGUGAGGAGUCUUCCAACAAAAAAGUGAUUCUUGGCUGAAGCUCGUCGAAGGCAAUUUUAAGGUAGCGGACCAUAUCGAAUGGUACAUCAAUGGUGGCUUCUGCAUCUUCAGGUAGAUUAUCAACUUUUGGCAAUUGAAUCUUGACAAAUUCUAUCAGAUGGGUUAUAUUCGGAGGCAGUUUGGGAAGGCGAUCUAUGUUUCUGGGAGUCGAAACAAAGGAGACACUGUGGCCUUUCUGGGCUAUGAGCUUGGCGAGCUCUAGGUAUGGAAUCAAGUGACCGAAGGCCAGCCAUGGGAACAUGAGAAUAUGCAAUUUACCCUGCUCAGCCAUGGACUACAGAUUUAGAGGUGCAGUGCACAAGAUUCUCGAUUAUACUUUGAAGGUUUGUGAUUGAGA